rnacentral:rRNA from 1 species
CAGGUUGAUCCUGCCGGACCUGACUGCUAUCUGAUUGGUACUAAGCCAUGCGAGUCGUUGUACAAUACAAGGCGAACUGCUCAGUACACGUAGUUAACCUAACCUAUGGAUGGGGAUAACCUCGGGAAACUGAGAAUAAUACCCAAUAGAUCACAGUGCCUGGAAUGGCCUGUGAUUGAAAUGAUUUAUCGCUGUAGGAUGGGACUGCGGCCUAUCAGCCUGUUGGUGAGGUAAUGGCCCACCAAGGCUAUAACAGGUACGGGCUCUGAGAGGAGGGGCCCGGAGAUGGGUACUGAGACACGGACCCAGGCCCUAUGGGGCGCAGCAGGCGAGAAACCUUUGCAAUGUGCGAAAGCACGACAAGGUUAAUCCGAGUGUCUCCUGCUAAAGGAGUCUUUUGUCAGUUGUAGAAUCACUGGCGAAUAAGGGGUGGGCAAGUUCUGGUGUCAGCCGCCGCGGUAAAACCAGCACCUCGAGUGGUCAGGAGGUUUAUUGGGCCUAAAGCAUCCGUAGCCGGUUGCAUAAGUUUUCGGUUAAAUCUAUGCGCUCAACGUAUAGGCCGCCGAAAAUACUGUGCAGCUAGGGAGUGGGAGAGGUCACGGUACUCAGU